rnacentral:lncRNA from 1 species
UCCCACUCUCUCCUCUCGUCCUCUCCUCUCAUUUCUCUCUAAAACCUCUCCCUUCUCUCUAACCUUUCUCCUCUCUUCUCUCCUGCUUCCUCUCGGCCACCGCCGCCACCGCCACCUCCGCUACCGCCACGGCUCUUCCACUAAUUUUUUCCCUCUCCUUCUCCUCUUUCUCUCUAUCCUCCGUCAUCAACAACUAGGAAGAAAGGUAAAAGUUCUGAAAUCCCUUUUUGGUUUUUUUUCUCUCGUUUAACUGAGAUUCGGGCUAGCAUGUCAUCGCCGAAGGUUUCGGAGAACCCUCAAGUGACAUGCAGGUCCCGAUCUGUAAACCUAGGGUUGAAAAAAACCCUUUUUACUUCGUCGACCUAAUCUGCUCUGUUUUUUUUAUUUCUCAGUCAGGGGAUAUAAUUGAUGGUUGCGGUGGAGAAACAGAGAUAGAGAAAAUAAAACAGCAUGGUGAAAAAGGAUCCAGCUUCUUUUUUAGGUUUGUUUCUCAAUUAGUUGUCUAAGGAAUCAUUUAAUUUUAUUAUUGGGAUUAUAGUAUUCUAGAUGUUUUAAUUAAGUGCUAAUGUUAAAAUUUCAGCAAUCUGUUUAGUCAAAAAAAUCGUGCUUUAACUCGGUUAUACUGUGAGUUUCGUGAUUUUUCAAACCCCAGGUGAAAUAUAAUUAUAGGUUUUUCUGUUUAUCAUGAUUUCCAGCAACUUUUAAGAGAUUUUAAAGCUUAUUUUAAGGGUUUGUUAGCUUUAUGAAUCGUUUACUCGAUCAGUCGCGAUGAACAUUGGAAUCGAGGGUAGUUUUAAGGGAGUAUAAAUACAACAAUAUGUAUGUGUGAAUGUUAUGUGAAGGAACGUUUGAAUGAUUACCUUUGAAUCCAAACUUAUUUUUUGUCGUGUUUCAGGUGGUAGUCCCUUGCGAGUGACAACAAAGUGAAUGACGGCAGAAACUGUUGUACUUAGGUUUAGCUUGUGUUUUGUAACGUGCUGUAAUAACUUUAUUUUCUUUUAUAUUUUGGACUUGGACUUGGGGUGCAGGAAUUUUUUUCGUAAAAACCACUCCCCUCUCCCUUUCUCCUCUUGAUUGUCUAUUUAAAUCAGCGAAGGGGCUACCACCUUCCCUCUCCC